AAUGAACGUUGGCGGCGUGGAUUAGGCAUGCAAGUCGAGCGAGAACCCCGCAAGGGGGGACAGCGGCAAACGGCGUAGUAAGGCGUAGGUACGUGCCCCCGGGUCUGGGAUAGCCAAGGGAAACUUUGGGUAAUACCGGAUACUCUCGAGAGAGCGAAGGUGUGACUCCGCCUGGGGAGUGGCUUACGUGGUAUUAGCUUGUUGGUGAGGUAACGGCUCACCAAGGCAACGAUGCCUAGGGGGUGUGAGAGCACGACCCCCACGACUGGGACUGAGAUACUGCCCAGACACCUACGGGUGGCUGCAGUCGAGAAUCUUCGGCAAUGGGCGCAAGCCUGACCGAGCGACGCCGCGUGUGGGAUGAAGGCCCUUGGGUUGUAAACCACUGUCAGAGGGGAUGAAGUGCACGGGGGUACUCCCUCGUGUUUGACAUAGCCUCAGAGGAAGCACGGGCUAAGUUCGUGCCAGCCGCCGCCGUAA
rnacentral:rRNA from 1 species